GGGCCGGUAACUCAGUGGUAGAGGUUGGUUUACCCCUGACUUCUUCAAAAACCCCCAACUAACCCCAGAUCAGUGUAGGAUUGCAGUUCAUCAAAGCAGUUUAUCCCGAAGUCACCGGUUCGACUCCGGUUCGGCCCU